rnacentral:rRNA from 1 species
UGGGGAAUAUUGGACAAUGGGGGGAACCCUGAUCCAGCCAUGCCGCGUGUGUGAAGAAGGCCUUAUGGUUGUAAAGCACUUUAAGCGAGGAGGAGGGUACUGGUAUUAAUACUACCAGGUACUGGACGUUACUCGCAGAAUAAGCACCGGCUAACUCUGUGCCAGCAGCCGCGGUAAUACAGAGGGUGCGAGCGUUAAUCGGAUUUACUGGGCGUAAAGCGUGCGUAGGCGGCUAAUUGAGUCGGAUGUGAAAUCCCCGAGCUUAACUUGGGAAUUGCAUUCGAUACUGGUUAGCUAGAGUGUGGGAGAGGAUGGUAGAAUUCCAGGUGUAGCGGUGAAAUGCGUAGAGAUCUGGAGGAAUACCGAUGGCGAAGGCAGCCAUCUGGCCUAACACUGACGCUGAGGUACGAAAGCAUAGGGAGCAAACAGG